rnacentral:tRNA from 1 species
GAGGCAUAGCUCAGUUGUUAGAGUACCUGCCUCACAUGCAGGGGGUCGCUGGUUCGAAUCCAGCUGUCUCC